GUGUCAGCCGCCGCGGUAAUACGGAGGAUGCAAGCGUUAUCCGGAUUUAUUGGGUUUAAAGGGUGCGUAGGCGGAUCAAUAAGUCAGUGGUGAAAACCUGCAGCUUAACUGUAGAUGUGCCGUUGAUACUGUUGGUCUUGAGUAUGGUCAAGGUAGGCGGAAUGUGUAAUGUAGCGGUGAAAUGCUUAGAUAUUACACAGAACACCGAUUGCGAAGGCAGCUUGCUGGGCCAUUACUGACGCUGAUGCACGAAAGCGUGGGGAUCGAACAGGAUUAGAAACCCGAGUAGUCC
rnacentral:rRNA from 1 species